GAUGAAGAACGUAGCGAAGUGCGAUAAGUAGUGUGAAUUGCAGAAUUUCGUGAAUCAUCGAAUCUUUGAACGCAAAUUGCACUCUCCGGUUUUCCGGGAGAGUAUGCCUGUUUGAGGGUCAGCCUAAAUAAAUUCGGCUUCGUUGCUGUUGUUUUCGCGGUAACGUUUUUAGUCGGGAUUUGGGUCAUCUUAAACCGAAAGGUUUUUAAGCGACUUAAAAUUUUUUUACGAUCCCACGAACGUUUCUAAGUACUUCUUACACGUUCAAGGUAUCGAAAACCCCUAUUAGGCGUGGCCGUCGUAUCGGAUCGCGUCCACAAUAUUUAUUCUUUAACUGACCUCAGACAGGUAAGAAUACCCGCUGAACUUAAGCAUAUCAAUAAGCGGAGGA
rnacentral:misc_RNA from 1 species